UCCUGCGCGCCACUACAACUAGAGACAUUCCCGCCCAGGCCGACUGGCUCGCAGUCCUAGUCAACGCCGCAGCGUACGCUCUCGCGUGGCCUUAUGUCCCCGAUGUCAGAGUUCAUGCGAACUUUUCCGUGUAGUAUUUCCCGCCAAUUUGUAUUUCUUUCCACUGAAGUGAAAUUCUUGGUGUUUUUUUUGUGCGAUAAUUAUUUUUAGUGGUUGUGAAUUUUUAAGUGAGAAGUUUGUAUGUUUAGUGACGUGUACUGCUAUCCGUAAUAGUUUGAAUGGAAUUUUGAUAUUUGGCUUUAAACACAAUAGUUUCGGAUUCAGUGAAGAUUCGAGCUUGGAAUGCCGUGAAAGAAAUCGUACGAUACUAGCGGACUUCAAAGCAGUACGGGUGCAAAUCUGACGAAAUCGCGUAUACAAGCAAAAGCUAGACCUUCAGGAUUAAGCAGAAUUCCGAUUAUUGUCAUAAAAAUCAUAAAUGAAGACUAAUUUACGAACGCGCAAAAGAAGAUUUUCUUUAUAAGCGUCAAAAAUAAAUAAAAAGGUCGAGAGAUUUCGGGCUUUGUUAAGACAAGACGUGGGGAAAAUACUGCGAAAUCUUUUUGAAUCAAAGAAGACACAGAAGAUACGAGAAGCCUUUGUAACCGUAUAAAAUCCUCUGAUCCCCACACAUAAAGUUACACUUGAGCCCAAAGAGGUCGCGCCACAAAAGCGUCGUAAUUGGCCCGUUCUUUUUCUACUUCCCCGAAGCAUUCAGAACCAAUGAAACGUGUGCAUUUAAAUGACGUUCCACCGCUUUGUGGGGUCACACUAAAGUUGUUCAUGAAACCACCAGCCGGUACCAAAGCGUCACUUUUGUUUAGCACGAGGGCUACUAAAAGAACCUGCUCUCUGCUUGUUAAGAAGUCAUUAGUCAUGCUUAUUUGAACGAAAUAGCAUUAUUAAAGUGUUGGCCGUUUCAAUGAAGGCGAAAGGUCAACGUCAUGUUUAAGCUUAGGCAAGUACUUUUCUUUUGGUUCGUGGAAAAAAUCAUGAAAGUGAUUUGUAGAUAAUAUGCAUGCAACUAGUGUGACAUUAAAUUUAUUCUGUAGUUGGAUUUAUAAAAAAAUCAUUAUUAAAGCAAUACGAAACUAAUAAUAAUAAUAAAUAUAAAUAAAUAAUAAAUUGUUAUCUUAACCCAGUUGUUUAAAUAUAAUACUAAUGUAUUUUUUUAUAUAUGAAGUACAAAAAACACUUUAAUCUUUGCAUUUAUUUAAUGUACCUAAUUGAGACUUAAACGUCACAUCGGUAAUGUGUCCGACUUUAUCCAUUUAAAAGAAUAAAACGUAAAAUAUAUACGAGA